GAGAUUUCCUUCAUUGUUUCUCAAAUUUCCCCCAUAUCUAACUCACUUAUUGUGUUGUUCUCUCUUCUUUUCUUUGAAUAAAUCUUUGUAGAGAACCAGAUUUCUUGGUCGCUGAAGUUCUAAUUUUCAAUCAAACAUCUAUGUCUUCAAGAAUAAUGAAGAGUUGGAUAAUAAAAGAGCUGGUGAUGUGAUGAAGUUUAUAUUCUUUUAUUGAUGAUGUCAAUUAGAUUGAAGAAUCUAAUUGAUGAUAUUGGACAGUUUCAUAUUCAAUCGACCUACAGAUCAUGCUAACAUGUUGUUGUUUCAAAAGUGGUGAUUUCAUUCUUUGAGGUGAUUUUCCUUUUAUUCCAUUGAUUAGCAACAGAAAUUAUCAGAUUUUUCAUUUGAAUAUUUUUUAAACAACUACAUUAAACAAAUUUCUUUACAUUAUUAUCUAUGAAGAUUCUUCUGAUUGCAAAUAUUUCUGCAAAGGUUAAGAUUAAGGUUAAUGAUUUUUACAAUUCUGCUCAACAAGAACUCGUUUCAGAACAAGACAUU